CAGUAGCCACGGGAAUACGAAGGGGGCUAGCGUUGCUCGGAAUGACUGGGCGUAUAGGGCGCGUAGGCGGCGAUCAAAGUCAGGCGUGAAAUUCCUGGGCUCAACCUGGGGGCUGCGCUUGAUACUUGGUUGCUUGAGUGGGGAAGAGGGUCGUGGAAUUCCCAGUGUAGAGGUGAAAUUCGUAGAUAUUGGGAAGAACGCCGGUGGCGAAGGCGGCGACCUGGUCCUUGACUGACGCUGAGGCGCGAAAGCGUGGGGAGCAAACAGGAUUAGAUACCCGCGUAGUCCCUGUCUCUUAUAC
rnacentral:rRNA from 1 species